rnacentral:rRNA from 1 species
CCUACGGGGGGCAGCAGUGGGGAAUAUUGGGCAAUGGGCGCAAGCCUGACCCAGCAACGCCGCGUGAAGGAAGAAGGCUUUCGGGUUGUAAACUUCUUUUGUCAGGGACGAAGCAAGUGACGGUACCUGACGAAUAAGCCACGGCUAACUACGUGCCAGCAGCCGCGGUAAUACGUAGGUGGCAAGCGUUAUCCGGAUUUAUUGGGUGUAAAGGGCGCGUAGGCGGGAAUGCAAGUCAGAUGUGAAAACUAUGGGCCCAACCCAUAGCCUGCAUUUGAAACUGUAUUUCUUGAGUGCUGGAGAGGCAAUCGGAAUUCCGGGUGUAGCGGUGAAAUGCGUAGAUAUACGGAGGAACACCAGUGGCGAAGGCGGAUUGCUGGACAGUAACUGACGCUGAGGCGCGAAAGCGUGGGGAGCAAACAGGAUUAGAUACCCGAGUAGUC